rnacentral:lncRNA from 1 species
GUGUUGUAGACGUCGAGAUGGUGCAUGAAAAGUGGACAUCUACUUGCUAUACUAUACAUCUAAGGGAUAUGCAAUAUAUACACUACUUAGUUACCUACAAAACAAAUAUUAGCAAACAAAUGACAUGUCAAAUUGUUAUCCAAUUCUUCAGCCUUGAGAAAAGAAGAGAGAUGGGAGACCAAGUGUGUUUCUUUAAGAGCAUGGAUCCUCCGUGGUGCAUUGCCUGCAGUGUAGAAUAUUGUAUAAACCCUAAGGAGAUGGAUGGCUAUCAAAUAAGAUAAUUUAUAAGUGCAUACUAUAUUAUACACGGCGUAUAUUAUUUGAUGGCCAUCCAUCUCCCAAUGGCAGCCAUUGAAAGCUGCACAACACUCUAUGAUGCAGCUUAUGCAUCAUAGACGACCUUGGUUGGUUCUUUUAUAGUUUUCAAAAAAAAAAUUAUCUGUAAAAUGACUCCCCUCACGACUACAUACACCUUUCAAAAAGCACAUGUAUAUGAAAUGAAAAAAUAUAACAACUCAGAUGCUUAAUAGUGCAAUGCGACCUGUGCACCAUAAUGUUAAUCAUCCAUGGAUGACUGCUACCAG